CUCCUGAUGAUGGGGCUCCAGGCCCAAAACGAAGACAGGAUCUAAUCCAGCAGGACCUGCUUCCUUUAAGCAAGAGAAGAAAGGAGCCAGACGAGUAGAGGGCUCCUGGACUGUGUUUAGCCAAUUCUGGGGUCCCCAGCCAACCUGGGGUUGGCUCUUCUGAGGCUCAGCAUGUUCAUUUUUGAUGAUCACAGACCAUCAGGGUCAUGCAGAGGGUCGGUCGUUUGCAAGAAGAGACUCCAGUCGUAGCAUUUUCCAGGAACUGUGACCGCUUCCUGUUCCGUCUCAUUUUCCCACCCUCACGCCUAAGGAAAGCAUAUGUCACCUUCUCCAGAUCUGAGUUUGGACCAGUCUUCUUUGGAUUUAUCUCUGGUUGGUCAUUCUGAAGUUGGCCUGUAGUUUGGAGCUAGGCCAAGGCCUAUGGAAACCUAUUGUGUGUGGGUGCAGUUGGUGCAAUAAAUAUGAGUCACUAUAGGUACUAUAGGUAUAUAGCUUUUUAUAUACAGUAA